CUACACGGGCAGAUGAAAACAACCCAUGGUCUCGCGCGGAAAUGAGCGAAAUGAAAGAGACGUAUCCGGUAGUUAGUAUUUAUCCAGAAUGCUAGACUAAGUGUGCAAUGGCGGCAAUAAACAAACGAAGCGGAUACGUUGACGGAAAAACUUCUUUAUUUCUUUCUUACCGUUAUGUAGACCAGUGAAAAUAAUGAACAACGAUUAAUCGCAUAAAUCCCAUGAAGAAUAGAAAACUGAAAGUAGGGCAAACAUAGAUCCCUGGACAUAUCAGAGGUGAGAACAGACAGAUCAUGAGAUGGAAACCAAUGUAAUUGAGAUGAAAAGGGAGUACAACUCGAAAUAUCAAGGAAAAACAAGAAAGGCCAUUGUGAAUCAGCAGAUGAUGUCCUAUACAACCAUCCUUCCAUGACACAUGCAAUGGGAAGUUUAUUUCAGGAAACAAAGCCUGUCUGAAACUCCAAAAUGACAUUUCCAGAAAGCUGAAGAAUGGAUAAAAAUGUAUCUACCAAUCUUACAACCCAGAUUUCAUUCCACUGAAAAGAAAAGGGACAGGAAAUUUUGCAUGUCCAUGUCUUGGAAGGUGAAUAGGUGGAAAGUCAAUAGAUGCUUACCAUAUCAGAUGCUUGCAGAGGAUACUGGGGAUAAAGUAGCAGAAAAUUAUGGAAAACAGGAAGUGGCAGCCAGGACUGACAUCAAUGCAAUAAACAAUGAGCCGAGGAGACGGUGAUGGAACUAUAUAGGACACGUGCUAUGGAGGGGAGGUGACAAUGACAGUGAGAUGGCGUUAGGUUGGAUACCAGAAGGGAAGAGGGCAUUUAAGAGACCGAAAACAACCUGGAGAGGAACAGUAGAAGCAGAAAGAAAGAUUGCAGAAUGGAGAAACUUGAAUGAGAUCAAGAUGGUAGCAAUAGAACAGAGUGGAUUGGAGAGAGUCUCGGUCUAUAUGUUUUGGCAUGGAGAGAACUAAAUAAUGUCUAGAUUGUUGGAGAUAAGAUGACCAGGAAUAUGAAUGGAUGUGUUGGAAACUGAACCAAGACCCUUAUGUAUUUGGAUAGAUUUACAUACCAUCAUGAUUUUGCUAUGAAAAACUUGAGAAAAAGAAAUCCUCAACUCAUAUUGUAGCUGACAUUGUACAUUUGUACUUAUUAAUAUUUCAAAUGAACAUAUUUUUAGACAUACAAUAUCUAAACUUUGGAGUCCAUGUACAUCUCCACAUUGGAUAAUAGGUUAUGAUAUAUGUGUGUGAAAUCUUUUCCUAUGGUAUGCACAUGUUAACACAUUAGUUUAAAUGAUGAUGUAUAUCUUAUGACUAUGGAAGAGAAUGUGUUCAGAACAGAAUAUGUGUCUAGAAGAGUUGUUGCCCUUGAAUGUAAUUCAUUAUUUACAUGGGGUUGAAAAAUAAUCCAGCACACAGUAGUACUAAAUGCAUUAUGUUAAAAUACAUUUAUGAAUGGUAUAAGUGAUACUGUCAAUUACUGAUUAAUACACUUUGUGAAAUCAUAUUAUUGUUAUGUUUUUAAAAUAAAUUUCAAGGCUGCA